rnacentral:rRNA from 1 species
CCCUUAGAUGUUCUGGGCCGCACGCGCGCUACACUGAUGCAUUCAACGAGUCUAAAACCUGGUCUGAUAGGGCUGGGUAAUCUUUUGAAAGUGCAUCGUGAUUGGGAUAGAUGAUUGCAAUUCUUCAUCUUCAACGAGGAAUGCCUAGUAAACGCAAGUCAUCGGCUUGCAUUGAUUACGUCCCUGCCCUUUGUACACACCGCCCGUCGCUCCUACCGAUUGAAUGAUCCGAUGAAUACCAUGGAUUGAGAGUACGAAUGGGUUCGCUCAUUUCUGCUGCUCGAGAAGUGGAGUAAAUCUUAUCAUUUAGAGGAAGGAGAAGUCGUAACA